CCAGCCUCCCUAGUAGCUGGGAUUACAGGCAUGAACCACCACACCUAGCUAAUUUUGUAUUUUUAGUAGAGAUGGGGUUUUUCCAUGUUGGUCAUGCUUGUCUUGAACUCCCAAUCUCAGGUGAUCUGUCCUUCUCCACCUCCCAAAGUGUUGGGAUUACAGGUGUGAGGCCUCCCAUAUACCUUUUAUAGCUUGUUUUAUUCAAUUGCAUGCAAUCAGUACUCACACACUACAUUUAGUUGUUUUGUCCAUUCAUAUAUACAUAUAUAUGUGUGCAUGUAUAUAUACACACAUAUACACAUGUAAAUACACAUAUACAUAUAUACACAUAUAAAUAUAUACAUACUUAACAGUCAAGGUCUGUUGUCAUUUGGAUUGUCCCACCUUCUAGAUUUGUUGCCUCACGGGAUCAUUCUUAACCUGCGUUUUUCCUUGGAUGUUAGAACCUAAGGCAAGGCCUAUAUGCUACAACUCUCCUUGGAAGUGCAGGACUAGGGAGGAGUGGGUGUGUAUAGUUCAUAAUGAGGCAGGGAAGGGGAGUGAGGCGAUAUGAGUGUGUGUUAUUAUGCUACCCAUUCUCUACUAUUAACUAGGUUUGCUACUUUAUCUUAUGUGAUCAUCUGAAAGAGCAUGUCAAUGGCUGUUUUUUAGGAUGCUCUGUUUCAAGGAGACAACAGGGAAGAAUGUGUCCACUGGCUUUCAUAUUCCACUGAUGCAAGAGUCAUGUGCACUCUACAGAAUGUGAAUCCUGCCUUCCUUUCAGUUUGCGCAUGAGCCAGCCUGGACCUGGCUGCAGAGUUUCACACCUCUGUCUAGGGGGAAGCUCGGGAUGAGAAGCAGCACUGUAGGGUACUGCCCACAUAAAGUCUACUGGAGCACAGCCAGACUUGGUUUCUGCAAGGAGGCCUGGAGCUGAACACAAUGUCCCUGGAGACAGGUUGAAGCCCCAAAGCCAUUCCUGCAGACGCUCCUGGACACAUCUGAAGACAAACAAGGAGGGACCAGCUGAUUGCAGACCGUCAGGGGCUGAGCUAAUGAAGCUGCUGCCAUUUUGACCGUUGCCAACCAUGAUACCAGAGGGAAAGGAAAUGUGGUGAGCUUUGUCUCUUAAAGCUUCUGUCCAAAAGUACCCCAAGUCACUUCUCACAUUUCAGUACCCCAAGUCACAUGGAUGUAUUUACUUCUAGAGGUGGGAGAGUGCCAUCUUCUUAUGGGCCAGGAAGAGAGAAAAACAAAAGGUGUGUGAUCACGCUGAUAACUAGCACAGAAUUACUCUAAUAAGCUUAUGAAAGCUGUGGACUCUCUCUCCCACAAUAUGCACAGAUGUACACAUUGCUGAUACAAUUUCAUUUCAAUUUCAAGUGGUUCACAGACAUCCUGAAGCCCAUAUACUGAUUCUGUAAAGAUUCAACUACAGGAUGAGAAUUGUAGUUCCAAAUUAUAUUCUCAUUGCUAAUUUCUCUACCAAUAUUUACCUAUGAGUUUUCUCGCUCUCUUGCUCUCUUAAAAGCAAUCUCAGUUCUUUUCACUUACUAUGUAAAGUACUGUAAGAAUCUAAACAGUAGUAGACUCUGGGAAUGUAUUCUAGAGCAGCAUAAUCUAGCACAGUAAGUGAAACUGUCACUUGACAAUACUAUCACUUCUUAGUGAUGUGAUUAGUCAAAUUGUCAAUGAGAUUGGAGCAAAUUACUUAACAUUAUGCAUCUCAAUUUUGUCUCCUCUAAAAUAGAGAUUCUAGAACCUUCUUCACAGGGUUGUUGACCAUUUAAAUUGAUGGAUAUUUAUGGGUUAGGACCAAUAUGUACUUUAUCCCCUAUAACUUCGCAAAUUUGGGUGGCAUUGUGUAGGUAUGGGGUGGAGAAACAUGGUGAUACUCGUGUAAGCUUAAAGGGUUAUUAGAAGAAGGUGGUCUUGUGUAAACACAAAAGACACAGGCUGUGUCCCUCCUGCUAAUUUAUGGCCGAGUUGAGUUGCAGGAGCAAACAAAUAAGACCAUUGAAAACUGAAAGAAAUCAUAAGCCUAGUAUGGAUCACUGCCAAGUGAUUACUUCAGAAAAUAAGUGCUUUAAAUUCAGACAAGGAGAAGAUUGCUAUUAGUAGGAGGGAUCAUGGGAAGACUUUGCAGAAGAGGUGAGUUUUGAACUUGAAGGACUGAAUUUGGGUUGGUGGUGUAGAGGAGGCAGCCAUUUUGCUCAGAGGGAAUGAUGGAACAAAGCACAGGAAUUAAAUGAGAUGUUGCAAUGUGAACAUACAUGGGCUUGUUGAGCUUCUGGGAAAUGUCCCUCAGGAUUGUAAUGACCGGGCUCAGGGCAGAAGUUGGGGAGUAGGGGAUUAGGCACUGGGGCACUUGGAAGGGGCUUGGUGUGGACAAAGAUGAGAUC